AUUCCUGUUCCGUGCCAUCGCCUUCGCCUCGGUCAGCUGCUGCUCGUGGGGUGUGUGGGGUGUGUGGGGUGGGUGUGGAUGUGUGGGUGUGGAUGUGUGUGUGUGUGUGUGUGUGUGUGUGUGUGUGUGUGUGUGUGUGUGUGUGUGUGUGUGUGUGUGUGUGUGUGUGUGUGUGUGUGCGUGUGUGUGUGUGUGUUGAUGCUAACAGAUUGAAAGAUAGGGACAAGAUAUCAUAAGGCCUUUCAUGCAUAGACAAGCCAGCUAGGACAUUCAGCAAUGUUUCAAUAAUUUAAUGUAACUAGAAAAACCAAGACACUUCCUGGCCCCACUCUAUAAGCUCGAUAGCAUACCCCAUAGGACAAAACUCUUAAUUACAUGAGAUAGAGGAGGUGCAUGUAUAUAUAUAUAUAUAUGUAUGCAAUGUUUACCUGUUUCUUCUCGUCUGCACUGAGUGUGUCAUAUUCCUCUGACUCGAUCAUAUCCUCUCCUUUCUUGAUCUUGGACAAAUUCUAUAAACGGAGGGGGGGCAAUACUCAAGUAUGCAACUGCACUGUGACAUCGUUGAUGAUCAUGUUGAGGAACCCGGCUCAGAAAGAUGGGUGUUGUGCCCAGUAGCUCGUGUGAGUGGGUGGGGAGUGGGUGGAAUGUGAGGAGUGUGUGCAUGUGGUGUGUGUUGGGGGGGAGUUGAAUAGGAAUUAUGAUGGUAAAUCAAUUUUUAACAUGUGUACAUAUACGUAAGUUACAGUUUUACGUGUAUAAGAUGUAUAGAAUUAAUGUAGAAACACUGCAUGCAUGCCUCACCCAUGAUAAGGCACCGCUAUUAUUUUAUGUGCAUACAAGUUUAUAAGGCCAGAGCUAAUUUGAGACAGUGGAAUCAUUCAGGCACUGACUGACCUCAGUACUCUCUUGAGUGAAGAGGUCCAUUGAGAACGAGCGGCCUCUCUAGGCAACGCGGCAAAGAAGGUCUCCUCUCGACCCUCGACCUAGGUUCAGAUAGAUGCCAAUGAUUCCACUGAUUAUAACUCACGAGGCUCAAAAUUGUAUUCAGAAGAAUCCUUCACCUAAAGAGAGAGGGAGAGGGGGUAUGAUGUUUGAUAAAGAAAAUCAUUCAUUAGUAAUACUUAUUACUACGGUUUGACCUACGUAUAAGCAAGGUAAAUAAGGGAUAAAGUGACUUUGUUUUCAUUGUACAAUGAUAUGUAAUUCCCUUAUAUUGUAGUAGGACAGGCGUUAUACAUUUGAUCUUCUACUAGUUAGUACAUGGCAUGAGGUAUCUAUGUGUGUAACAAAGCCCCAGGGACACACUGUAACCAUAUAGAUACCGAAACCUAGCAACAUUACAUCUGCAAUCUAUAGUUACCAGGAACAUAAUUAUAUAGUUCCUGCUAAACACACUCCAGUGGGAAAGUUAUUCUACUAUUCGGGCCUAUAAACAAAAAUGUAUCAGCGCUAUGGUUACCAAGGGAGAUAUUGACUUUGUAUUCUAGGAAAGUGUUCAGUGUAAUUCCUUUCUUCAAAGUGUAUUCAAUGGAUGUUGUUGUGGGGAAUGAGAUGGCCAAGUUGAUAACACAUGUGACCGCUACUAUAUGGCAGCAGACAAAGUGGGGCCCACAACACACCGACACAGAGUUACUGUAUUGCAUAAUAGCUUGAUGCAAUAAUUAUCAUAACUAGUUGACCACCAUACUAUUUCACUAGACAUGUACUUGUACAGGUAAAAAAAUUGCACCGUCUACAGCUGCAUGUAGAUUGAUUGCAUCAUCAUUCUAAGUGACAGCCCAUCCUUCAGCUCUCUUGACUUUGGUCCCACUAGCUUGCUGAGUACAUAGUUCAACAUGGCUGCCAUCCUUUCCACUAUAGGACGGGGGAUACAGAUGCCUGACGAGUAUCCUUGGUGAUGAACUGGAGGGCGUGUACAGUGCGACUACCCAACAGAUUCCUGUUCCGUGCCAUUGCCUUCGCCUCGGUCAGCUGCUGCUCGUGCUGUAUGUGGGGUGUGGGUGUGGAUGUGUGGGUGUGUGUAUGUGUGUGUGUGUGUGUGUGUGUGUGUGUGUGUGUGUGUGUGUGUGUGUGUGUUGAUGCUAACAGAUUGAAAGAUAUAGGGACAAGAUAUCAUAAGGCCUUUCAUGCAUAGACAAGCCAGCUAGGACAUUCAGCAAUGUUUCAAUAAUUAAAUGUAACUAGAAAAACCAAGACACUUCCUGGCCCCACUCUAUAAGCUCGAUAGCAUACCCCAUAAGACAAAACUCUUAAUUACAUGAGAUAGAGGAGGUGCAUGUAUAUAUAUUAUUAUGUAUGCAUGCAAUGUUUACCUGUUUCUUCUCUUCUGCACUGAGUGUGUCAUAUUCCUCUGACUCGAUCAUAUCCUCUCCUUUCUUGAUCUUGGACAAGUUCUAUAAACGGAGGGGGGCAAUACUCAAGUAUGCAAGUAAGUGCGACCAUAGCAACCUAACCACACCUCUAGCUAGUCCCUCGUCCAGCUGCACUGUGACAUCGUUGAUGAUCAUGUUGAGGAACCCGGCUCAGAAAGAUGGGUGUUGUGCCCAGUAGCUCGUCUUGUCAGUGCUUGGUCUGUACGAUGGUAUAGUCCAUAAGUACUCCAGCACAUCACACAUGGGCAGCCGGUAUUCUGGACACACACACACAGAACAGUUCACGACUCAGUCCUUUUGUAAACAUAUCAGCCACCAUUUCAGCUGUCGGACAAUAUGUA